rfam:Myotis lucifugus cont2.26623, whole genome shotgun sequence.
GCAGGUGUGGCUCAGUGGUUGAGCGUCAACCUAUGAACCUGGAGGUCAUGGAUUCCAUUACCAGUA